rnacentral:rRNA from 1 species
CUGCUGCCUUCCGUAGGAGUUUGGGCCGUGUCUCAGUCCCAAUGUGGCCGUUCACCCUCUCAGGCCGGCUACUGAUCGUUGCCUUGGUAGGCCAUUACCCCACCAACUAGCUAAUCAGACGCGGAACCAUCGUAUACCACCAGAGUUUUUCACACCGCUUCAUGCGAAGCUGUGCGCUUAUGCGGUAUUAGCACCUAUUUCUAAGUGUUACUCCCCCAGUAUACGGCAGGUUUUCCACGCGUUACUCACCCGUCCGCCA